rnacentral:rRNA from 1 species
AGUGAACGCUGGCGGUAGGCCUAACACAUGCAAGUCGAACGGCAGCACAGUAAGAGCUUGCUCUUACGGGUGGCGAGUGGCGGACGGGUGAGGAAUACAUCGGAAUCUACUUUUUCGUGGGGGAUAACGUAGGGAAACUUACGCUAAUACCGCAUACGACCUACGGGUGAAAGCAGGGGAUCUUCGGACCUUGCGCGAUUGAAUGAGCCGAUGUCGGAUUAGCUAGUUGGCGGGGUAAAGGCCCACCAAGGCGACGAUCCGUAGCUGGUCUGAGAGGAUGAUCAGCCACACUGGAACUGAGACACGGUCCAGACUCCUACGGGAGGCAGCAGUGGGGAAUAUUGCACAAUGGGCGCAAGCCUGAUCCAGCCAUACCGCGUGAGUGAAGAAGGCCUUCGGAUUGUAAAGCCCUUUUAUUGGGAAAGAAAAGCAGCAGGUUAAUCCCCCGCUGUUCUGACGGUACCCAAAGAAUAAGCACCGGCUAACUUCGUG